rnacentral:miRNA from 15 species
CUGCGGUUGGAUUUCGUUACC